GACGAACGCUGGCGGCGUGCUUAACACAUGCAAGUCGAACGGUGAAGGGACCAGCUUGCUGGUUCUGGAUGAGUGGCGAACGGGUGAGUAACACGUGAGUAACCUGCCCCCUUCUUCUGGAUAACCGCAUGAAAGUGUGGCUAAUACGGGAUAUUCUGGGUCUGUCGCAUGGCGGGCCCGGGAAAGAUAUUGCUUCGGUGGGGGAUGGGCUCGCGGCCUAUCAGCUUGUUGGUGGGGUGAUGGCCUACCACGGCGGUGACGGGUAGCCGGCCUGAGAGGGGGGACGGUCACACGGGGACUGGGACACGGCCCAGACUCCUACGGGAGGCAGCAGUGGGGAAGAUUGCACAAUGGGCGCAAGCCUGAUGCAGCGACGCCGCGUGAGGGAUGGAGGCCUUCGGGUUGUAAACCUCUUUCGCCAGUGAAGCAGGCCUGCUCCUUGUGGGUGGGUUGACGGUAGCUGGAUAAGAAGCGCCGGCUAACUACGUG
rnacentral:rRNA from 1 species